rnacentral:rRNA from 1 species
GCAAAGCCGCGAGGUAGAGCAAAUCUCAAAAAAACAUCUCAGUUCAGACUGCAGGCUGCAACUCGCCUGCACGAAGUCGGAAUUGCUAGUAAUCGUAGGUCAGCAUACUACGGUGAAUACGUUCCCGGGCCUUGUACACACCGCCCGUCACACCAUGGGAGUUGGAAAUGCCCGAAGUCAGUGACCCAACCGCAAGGAGGGAGCUGCCGAAGGCAGGUCCGGUAACUGGGGUGAAGUCGUAACAAGGUAUC